AUGAUUCUUCCAUCUGGACUACUAGCCCUUCUAAUCCAAAAUCAGCUUUUUGGUCCUCCAUUCUCAAAAUACUGCCCAAACUCAAAGCUCAUUCUUUUUACCAGAUUACUCAAGGUAAUAUUUCUAUAUGGAGCACCCCUUGGUGCUCGCGUUGGAAUGCUAUUUAUGAUCAUCUUAUUAUUCAACCUUCAGGAUAUAGUUACCCUUCUCUUGUUAAAGAUCUUUGGGUUCCCGAUAGGAAAGAAUGGAAUUCUACCCUUAUUUACUCUCUUUUCCAACAACCUCUUGCUUCUACUAUUAUGCAGACUGAUAUUAUUCAAGAGGACGGUCCAGAUAUUCUGUGUUGGGACCUUACCCCUAAUGGUAUUUGUACUUCUAAAUCUACUUAUAAGAUGUGUUUGCAGGAUUCAUGCCAAUCCUAGAUUUGCACCUUCUCAGGUUUCUUUGCAGGUCAAGAAUCUUCUAAAUGAGGUCUGGAAACAAAAGAUGAUGAUUCCCAGGGUAAAAACUUUUGCUUGGAGGCUUCUUAGAAAAGCUCUUCCCACAGGUUUGAGAGCUGGCCGCUUCUCCGUGCACAUAUCUCAACUUUGUAGCAGAUGCGGGGAAAACGAUUAA
rnacentral:rRNA from 1 species